GACGUGGAAACUCUCAUCAUCAUCGCCAUUACCAUUCUCACAGUUUUUCAAUUUCUUCUUCCUUCUCAACUCUCUCCAAUAUGGCCUCUGCCUCUGCUUUUACAAUUUCCCCAUCUUUCCCAUUCUCCACCUCCCGCACACCUAAGAACAAACCUAUUUCCUCAUCCAUCUCCUCUCAAAACGCUUCUCAAUUCGUGCCCCGGAGGGAGAUUUUGAAACGAUUCACUCUCCUUCCUCUUUCUUUCCCUCUUUUCCAUUCCUUAAAUCCACUUCCUUCUCUAUCCAAGGAGAUCGAAGUUGGCUCUUAUCUCCCUCCCUCACCCUCUGACCCUUCUUUUGUCUUCUUCAAAGCUUCCCAAAGUGACACUCCGGCUCUUCGUGCAGUUCUUUGCAGGAAAUGUGCAACCAUACCAGUUCAUUCUGCCCCCAACUUGGAAACAAACUCGUGUAGCUAAUAUUUUAUCUGGAAAUUACUGUCAACCUAAGUGUGCAGAGCCUUGGGUGGAGGUAAAAUUUGAAGAUGACAAACAAGGCAAAAUCCAGAUAGUGGCUUCCCCUUUAAUACGUCUGACUAAUAAGCCUAAUGCUACAAUUGAAGACAUAGGUAGCCCAGAGAAGGUAAUCGCUUCUCUUGGCCCUUUUGUUACUGGAAGUACAUACGAUCCUGAGGAACUCCUUGAAUCAUCAGUUGAGAAACUUGGCGAUCAAACGUAUUACAAAUACACAUUGGAAACUCCUUAUGCUUUGACGGGUACACACAAUCUGGCUAAGGCAACGGCAAAAGGGAGCACCGUUGUGUUAUUUGUGGCUAGUGCUAAUGAUAAACAAUGGCAGGCUUCUGAGAAAGUUUUGAGAACCAUGCUUGAUUCUUUUCAUCUCUAAUUCCUUUCAACACAAAAUGCAAACUCAGGUUAUAUCUUUUUUAUAAUGUUUCAUUUAUGCUUCUAUCUUCACAUUUACUAAAUGAUAAACUUUGAGUUCUUCAACAUUCCUGUUGCACCAUAGCUUUAUUUAAUGGGUGAUUUAUCUACUUUUUUGGGUGAUGAUUGCGUCAUGACAUAAUGGAUUUGUCAGAGUUGAAGUUGACAUUGUGCAAAGAAAGAACUGGCUAUUGUAUUUUUGAGCUAUUGUUUAUUAAUCUAUUCAAUUAGUUUUCAUUCACUCUAA